rnacentral:rRNA from 1 species
CGGUACAUCGGUGACAGGUGGUGCAUGGUUGUCGUCAGCUCGUGUCGUGAGAUGUUGGGUUAAGUCCCGCAACGAGCGCAACCCCUAUUGUUAGUUGCCAUCAUUCAGUUGGGCACUCUAGCGAGACUGCCGGUAAUAAACCGGAGGAAGGUGGGGAUGACGUCAAAUCAUCAUGCCCCUUAUGACCUGGGCUACACACGUGCCACAAUGGUUGGUACAACGAGUUGCGAGUCGGUGACGGCGAGCUAAUCUCUUAAAGCCAAUCUCAGUUCGGAUUGUAGGCUGCAACUCGCCUACAUGAAGUCGGGAUCGCUAGUAAUCGCGGAUCAGCACGCCGCGGUGAAUACGUUCCCGGGCCUU